CCUACGGGAGGCUGCAGUGAGGAAUAUUGGUCAAUGGACGAGAGUCUGAACCAGCCAAGUAGCGUGAAGGAUGACUGCCCUAUGGGUUGUAAACUUCUUUUAUAUGGGAAUAAAAUGUUCCACGUGUGGGAUUUUGUAUGUACCAUAUGAAUAAGGAUCGGCUAACUCCGUGCCAGCAGCCGCGGUAAUACGGAGGAUCCGAGCGUUAUCCGGAUUUAUUGGGUUUAAAGGGAGCGUAGGUGGAUUGUUAAGUCAGUUGUGAAAGUUUGCGGCUCAACCGUAAAAUUGCAGUUGAAACUGGCAGUCGUGAGUACAGUAGAGGUGGGCGGAAUUCGUGGUGUAGCGGUGAAAUGCUUAGAGAUCACGAAGAACUCCGAUUGCGAAGGCAGCUCACUGGACUGCAACUGACACUGAGGCUCGAAAGUGUGGUUAUCAAACAGGAUUAGAUACCCCAGUAGUC
rnacentral:rRNA from 1 species